UUUUUUUUUUUGUUUUUUUUUUGUUUUUUUUUUUGAGGCCAGAUCUCUUGAUAUAGCCCUGGCUUCCCUGGAACUCACUUUGUAUGUCAGACUGGCCUUGAACUCAAAGAGAUCCUCCUGUCUCUGCCUCCUGUGUGUUGGUAGCAGAGACACAAUGGCUGGCUUAUUUCUUCAUUAAGAAAUGGUCUUUAUUUUUGGAAACAUGGCACAUGCUUGUGGUUAUUUAUAUUUACAGUACUACAAUACCAACGCUUAAUUAAUUACCAAGCUUGAGUGUUGUAUAGAAUAGGUUAAAAAGAAUAUUGCCUGGUCUUCAGAAUAUGAAGUUAAUGCAAAUUGAGGUUAGUAUAAAUUCACAUUUGCCACUCUAAUGCACAUAAGUGUGUGAUCUAACAGAGCACUCCCAAAAGUGGCUUUCUCCACCAGGUAGGGCAUCCCUGUGAGCUCACAGCCUUUGCCAAGAGGCUUUCUUGUUCGCGUGAAACAUCUGUGCCACAUAGUGCUGGGUUGUUUCACACUCUGCCAUUUCUGUGUAUUAAAAGGAUCCUCAAACUGUAGGCCUUACACAUAGUCAUGCCAUAUUAUGUUGUUUGUGUGUGCAUGUGUGUGUGUGCUUGUGCGUGUGUGUGAGAGAAGGAGAGAGAGAGAAAGAGAGAGAGAGAGAGAAUGAAUAUGAAUGAAUGAAUAUGGACAUGUAGAUUAGGUAGAUAAUCUUUAGAAUCUUACUUGAUCCCACAGUGUGUAUUGGGUGCCUCUCUUCUUUUUUUACGUGCUUCAGAUGGACGUUACUUUAUAUCAAUGUACCAGAUUCUCCUGUUUAUCAGAAAAACUGAAAAAACAUGUGUGGCAUAUGUCAGUCUUAUAUUUUAUUGAUUGAAAAAGUGAGGGGGUGAAAUUUUUAUUAUUAAGAUGAUAUUGUAGAGAAAGCUUCAUAGAUACAUUAUUGUUUUUAUUGACUUGAUUUGAUGGUAGAAUGAAGCAUACCCCUACUAUAUAUGUCCAUAUGCAUGUUUAUAUUUUACUUAUAACAGGGAUAUAUGUCUCUUUGUAAACAUAUGUAACCCAAAAUAUCAAUUCUAAUUGUGAUAUUUAGUAAAAGCUAAAGUUUUGCUUUAUUUUGAGUAGAAGUAAUUGCUUAUUUUUAGUCGAUGUAAUUUGUAGGGGGUGGGAAACAUGCACUAAUUUUUGGGAUAAUGCUCUUUAUUUUCUAACUGCUUUUUAUGAGGUCUUAAAAUUACAGAUUACAGUGGGCACCUUAUUAUGGAUCAUUUUCAGUAGGCCAACGUUUCACUGAGGUUUAUUAAAGUGUCAAACACAGCGCCAUUCUUUUCACAGUGAAGGCAGGCAGUGUAACACGAUUGUCUAAAGGCAGAGGCUGUGGGGUUGUGCUUUGGUUACCCCUUUUCCAGAAAGAAAAGCACAUGAGAGAUUCUUAAUCUUUGAUCUCAAUAUUUGACAUACAUGUAAGUGCUCUUUUUGUGUUCCCUGCCUCAGAGAAUCAGGGGGAGAGCAAUUGAGGGAGAUUCCGGUUACCUGAUACCAACCUGACACUCCCCACACUCAAACAUGUGUAUAUAUACCCGAUGUAGACAUGCAUACGCACACAUGAAAACAUUUGCAUAUAUACCCGAUGUAGACAUGCAUACGCACACAUGAAAACAUUUGCAUAUAUACCCGAUGUAGACAUGCAUAUGCACACAUGAAAACAUUUGCAUAUAUACCCGAUGUAGACAUGCAUAUGCACACAUGAAAAGGAAGAAAAGGAAUUUUAAUAUGUAUGUUUUGAAGAAAUGAUGGAAAACAGUUAAAAACCAAGGAUGGACAAAAGAAUCCCAGUUUUACUUUCUAGAGAAAACCAUGGGUAUAGUACAGGGGUUGGAUAGGCAGCUCAGCAGUUAAGAGCACUUGCUGCUCUUCCAGAAGACCUGAGUUUGGUUCCCAGAAUCCACACCAGGCAACUUGGAAUUUCCUGUGGCUUCCUGUAAGUUUAACUCUAGGGGAUCCAACACACCUUCUCUGACCUCCCUGGAUACCUACACACAUUGGGCAGCAGACAUAACACACAUAAAUAUACACAGCAUGAAAACAAAAAUUUCUUUGUCUUGUUUUUGGUUUUGGAGACAGUGUAGCCCUUGGUGUCCUGGAACAAGAAUAGACAAGGCUGGCCUCAAACUCAAUAGAGAUCCACCUGCCUCUGCUUCCCAAAUACUGGGAUUAAAGGUGUAUACCACCAGCAGCCCUAUAAAUGGAUUAUAUAUUAAAUUAUUAUUAUAAAUCUUAAUAAGAAAAUACUAAUAUGUAAGUACUCUUAUUGUCUUUAUAGUGUACUAUACUAUAAAAUUUAAUACUGAUUUUUGUGCUAGACCCUUUUUCCAACAAUAUAUGUAAAAGAUGUAUUUAAGGGCAAGUAAUUUAAUGCAUUUACAUAAUAGUUAAACAUAUUAAGUAUAUUUGAAGCUUGUACUGUAGCUUUGGUCUUUAACAUUUUGAAAAUUAGCCAGAGUAUUAUAUAUCAUUAUUUAUAUGACUUAAACAGAAAGGAACUUGGUUAAGACUUUCAUUUAGUAUUGUAGGCCAGAAUCCUAGCACUGGGAAGCAGAGGUUUGAGAAGUCUGUGAAUUCCAGGCCCGCCAGUUACAUGGCGAGACCCUGUCUCAAAAGGGCUGCCCUUACUAUAGGAAAGAAUACAGCAUGAUUUUAGUAACUCUUUGUGUGUUUAUACUUUUGUAGUUUUCUUGAAGCCUGGGAAAAAUUUUAAAGGUAUAGAAAAUGAACAAUACAUUAUC
rnacentral:lncRNA from 1 species